AGCAUCUUCUUUGGAGUCGGUCUUAUAGGAUUGUUCUUCAUCAUGGCUGGACGCCUGCUGUUUGUCACCCUCAUGUAUUCCUGUGCCAAUACUAAAACACAAGCUCGUCCUCAACUCAUAAUGAAUUCAGCGGUGAUCUCAGAGACGGAAACAGUCACAUUGGACUGUCGAGCUCCAUCAUAUCCUACUGUCCACCAGUGUUAUUUCACCAUUAUCGGAGCAAAACAUGCCAAAGGCUUCACUUGUGUGCAGACACUGACAGGAACUGAACUGUUGAGGAUGUCAGACCAGAGAGCACCUGCUGAGGUUAAAGUGGAUUGUUAUUACACUGUAAUGGUUGGAGACGUGAAUCAUCCAUCUGCACACAGUGUCACAUCAUCCAUCACAAUCCAAAAUGUUGUCAAGUCGAGCACGACGCAGACUAAGACGGCAUCUGCUGUGACCACAGCAGGUCUUUGUGCUUCCAGGCCUGUAACUACUGUAAAGCAAACAUCAGCAGGUCUCAGUGCUUCCAGGCCUGUAACUCGUAUAAAGCAAACACCAGCAGAUCAAACCUUUGGACCAAGAAACUCUGGUAGUUUUAGUUCUCCUCCCCUCACAACAGACAAACCAACAUCAGAUGUUGUCGAGUCGAGCACGACGCAGACUAAGCCGGCAUCUACUGUGACCACAGCAGGUCUCAGUGCUUCCACGCCUGUAACUCGUAUAAAGCAAACAUCAGAUCAAACCUUUGGACCAAGAAACUCUGGUAGUUUUAGUUCUCCUCCCCUCACAACAGACAAACCAACAUCAGGUCACAAGCUGAUGUCACUGGUAAUAUGCACACGUAGUCAGACAUCAUCACUAUUAUUUAUAUGCAUAUUUAUAUUUUGGUCUUUCAGGGUAUUCGGGUGUGUUUUACUUGAUGUUGCAGUUGUCAUAAUAUUACAUUACAUGUCAUUUAGCUGACUCUUUUAUCCAAAGCGACUUACAUUGCAUUUUUAACCCAUGUUCUUCUAUAUUUUUAACCCAUCCCGGACAUUGGGAGUAGUGUGCAGCCGUAAAGGCGCCCGGGUGUCUUGCUUAGGAACACUUCUACAUUGGGACAUGGAGCAGCCAGGGUUCGAACCGCCUUGCGGUUCCCGGCACACCCUGUCUACUUCAUGCGCCACCGUCGCUAAUAUGAGAUAUCUUGAACAUGGAGAAUUGGUAAUAAAUAUAUAAUUUGUCAAGAUGGAUUACUUUUUUCAUUUAUUUAUGAAAUCCUCUCAAUUCCUCUUGCCUCCUAUUGAUUGGAGCUUUUAUUUCCAAAAUACCUUCCUGGCUUGUUUCAAAUUAUAUUAAAUUUAGGGGCGCACAACAGAUUCUUAUAAAGAUCAGGUGGAGCGUAUUGUUGGCUUUUUACAAAAAACCAACUUGACAAAAAGCAUCAUCUUUGUGUGCCGUUGUGUCACAUUUGCAGGUUCUGUGAAACUGGAGGAGCAAACACUUACACAUGAGAACCACGCCAUGUUCCAAAUAUACGCCAAUAUCCCCAACGAGCCACCUGCAUCAGCCAAACAGGACGCAGUGUAAAGCAACCUGAAGCCACAUUGAAACACAAGCAUUUUAUACUGUGUAGAGGAACGGUUGGGCGGACAGUCAAAACAUUUUUUUUUAAAUCAGUUUCUUUUACAUUUUUUAAACAUAAUAUUGUUUGUGAAAUUGCAAUGCAAAUUGUAACUGUAACAAACGACAGGUCUCAGCUGGCUUUAAGAUAAUGUUAGCACACUUCAUAUUUUGUUUUACAGGGAGAAAAGAUUUUAGAAUUUUGACAUAGAAAUACAAACAACUGAUGUUUCUUAUGUUUUGCAGUUAAGCUGCAAAAGUUGCAAUCGUCACCAUUAUUAUUUUGUGAAGUUGGAGGCUGUUGAUUAGCACCACAUUGUAGACAACUUCUUUCUCUUCAAAGUCAAAAUAGUAUAAGCUUGCUUCUUUAGUACUUGUAACACAAUGCCUGCUCAAUUAAACAAAUACAAAAAUAAGAUGACCGUGUGUUCUGGUUAUAUUUUCUUUUUCUGGGGGGCCGCUUCCCAGCUGGAAAUCGUGUACUUGCUAGCGAGAAUUAACUGGUAUCUAUUAGCAAUGCUGAAUACCGCCUAUAAUCAUCCUACCUUGCCUCAUGUCGGAAUGAUGAAUGACUACGAAACCUCGGCCAUGAACUCCCCAAAUACAG
ensembl:lncRNA